AACGCGCAAUUAACUCCUCUCCUAACUCUCUCUCUCAAAUCACCGCCGCCGCCGCCGCCACCUCCGAUUCCUCCUGGGCACGGCUGUCUCCGGCGCCGCCAUCAACAGGCGAGAGUCGUCCUCACCUCGCUCUACCGAUUCCCCGCCCUAGCCGCUGCUCUACGCCCCCGCUCGCGCUCGCACAGCGGUUAACCCUAGCCUCUCACAGGACAGGAGGGAGAGGAGGUCGUGGGGGAGGAAUGAGAAGAGGACACGGAGCGGCAGAACUGGCAGAGCAGCGGCAAAGCGCAGGUCGCGGCUCACUCCGCUGCUCUGUUGGGGCCAUCAGCUGUCGUGCUUGCGUUGCGCGUGCGCUCAGGUACUACAUCCCAGUUUGUUGGUGACUUUGGGUCUCUGUGCACCUCUGGACCCUGCUAGGUACUGCUCUUGCUAUUUGGUUGACAAGUGUUUCUCCUUGUAAGUGGUAGUGCUGCGUGCCGAUGGUACAUCAAUGAUCUGUUGUUCCAGGUGCUUAGAUUGACGCACCUCUUGGGCAACAACCGCGGUCUUCUGUGGUGUAACGAGCUUCAGGUGUGCCAUCUGGAUCAACUAGCUCCAGCUCCUUGCCUAAUGACCCUCUCCCCCUCUCCGGCGGUAUUACCUAUGCCAUCUAGCACUGUGGGAGGGUCUUCCUCCAGCCCCCUCGUUUCAGUUACUGCAUCGCCAGAGGUAGACACCUUUCCCUUAUGUCUCUGUUCAGGGUCGUACUCCUGUGCCUUCCCUGUCUUCACCUCGGCAUCUAUGGUUGGGUUGGUGCAUCUCGACUUGUACUUAUAUAUUAUUAUUGCAUCAUCUUCUUGACAUGUUUUUCUUGACAGUGGUGUAGCUUAUGAAAUUAAGCCAAAGUCUCAGCGGGUUCCCUUCAAGGAUGGCCUGGCUGACACAGAUGAUGCUCAACUACUUGGGCCAACUGACGGUGAACUGGUUGACUCAACUGGCGAGGGCCUGGCUGGUAGAACACUGGGAUCAACUGUCGGAGCUAUCGUUAGGAAAGACAACCUGCCACAGCUUGAUAUCGUCGCUGAGAAGGCUGGUCCAGCACUGAUUGAUCAGACACCCAAUGCAAAGAGAUCUUUAUUGUUGCCCUGCUCAGAUGCAGAUUUUCGACUAUUGCACACAUUUUCAUAUUUCUCUUUCCCUUGUCUGUUGCCUUCAGGUCUGAGCCAUCCUUGUCCACCACUCUUUCAGGGAGUACGGGCAAGCGGGGUAGGAAGAAGGAGGCCCUUCCCCUAGAAGAAGUAUCUUUUGAUAAUGCAAGCCUUUUGGAAAACAUGGCUCUAAGUAGAUGGUUUCUUAUCAGUGCGCCUGUACUUGCAAUUCCCCUGCCUGAGCUUGGGCUCGCAGGCACUUAUUGUGAAACUUACUUGGUUGCUUCUGAGCGACAGUGGCUGUUAUCAUAGCCAUAUCGCUGUCCAUCCGGACUAUCAGGCUGCAUGGAUCUAGACUGUCUUUUUGUCAGCGCAUAUGUGCACAUUCUGGAGUUCGUGCCUGCAAAAUGAAUGGGCAGGUCAGCCGGCUGCUCUGCGGCGUCGUUCAAAGCGCCUUCCGCCUUCGUGUUUCAGUUUUAAUCACGGCGAUAUCCGUGUGUGGAGGGUGAUAGAGACUGUAUGCCUCGUUUGUUUCCUCUGUAAAUAUGUGGACUGGACGGCAUGUACAAUCUGCUGGCAGCGCCGUUCCGAUGCUCUGUAACCUAGCAACUUAUGUACUCUGGGGCUUGUUUCCAAAUCAAACUGAUGAUUCAAACGUGUUGUCCAUUUCAA